rnacentral:misc_RNA from 1 species
AAGUCGUAACAAGGUUUCCGUAGGUGAACCUGCGGAAGGAUCAUUCAUGUGAACUUAAAAAAAAUCACAACCAAUAAUGUGAACCAGUUUCUUUGAAGCUAGUUUUGGUCUGUCUUUUAGUUGGUGGCUAUUUUCUUUGGUCUUUAGUUGGCUUUGCUAAGAUUCUACCAACCACUGCUCCUUGCUUAGGGUCAGUGUGGUAGGAGAAUUUGGCAUGAAAUAAAAUGUAUGUAAAUGAAAAAUGCCUCCUGUUUUUACUACUAUGAAAUUCUUGCAAAAUCAUCCAAAUUUAUUGUUACAAUAUAUAACAACUUUUAACGAUGGAUCCCUCGGCUCUUAC